UACGUAGGGCGCAAGCGUUAUCCGGAAUUAUUGGGCGUAAAGAGCUCGUAGGCGGUUUGUCGCGUCUGCCGUGAAAGUCCGGGGCUCAACCCCGGAUCUGCGGUGGGUACGGGCAGACUAGAGUGAUGUAGGGGGAGACUGGAAUUCCUGGUGUAGCGGUGAAAUGCGCAGAUAUCAGGAGGAACACCGAUGGCGAAGGCGGGUCUCUGGGCAACAACUGACGCUGAGGAGCGAAAGCGUGGGGAGCGAACAGG
rnacentral:rRNA from 1 species